AAGUCUAUCCCUUUAAUUGCACUUUCAUGUUUCAGCACUAGAGGGCACAUGUCGUUCACUCUACUGAUAACAUCCCCUUUAAGAUCAUGCACUUUAUACACCGCACGCGCUGGGUCACGAUGAGCAUGUAAACUUCAAAGCUGUGUGCGUUCGUGCAGAAAAACCACACACACACACCCAUAUACAAACAGCCAUGUACAUGUUAUUUAUGUGCCCAGCAUAUUAAAGUUUUGGAUAUAACUCUCCGAGCCCUUACUCUCUAACCGGAGUCACCAGUCUUUAAGGCCUAUCUGAACAAUCCAGAGUUCCAUCUCUACAAA